GACGAACGCUGGCGGCGUGCCUAAUACAUGCAAGUCGAACGCUUCUUUCCUCCCGAGUGCUUGCACUCCAUUGGAAAGAGGAGUGGCGGACGGGUGAGUAACACGUGGGUAACCUACCCAUCAGAGGGGGAUAACACUUGGAAACAGGUGCUAAUACCGCAUAACAGUUUAUGCCGCAUGGCAUAAGAGUGAAUGGCGCUUUCGGGUGUCGUUGAUGGAUGGACCCGCGGUGCAUUAGCUAGUUGGUGAGGUAACGGCUCACCAAGGCCACGAUGCAUAGCCGACCUGAGAGGGUGAUCGGCCACACUGGGACUGAGACACGGCCCAGACUCCUACGGGAGGCAGCAGUAGGGAAUCUUCGGCAAUGGACGAAAGUCUGACCGAGCAACGCCGCGUGAGUGAAGAAGGUUUUCGGAUCGUAAAACUCUGUUGUUAGAGAAGAACAAGGACGUUAGUAACUGAACGUCCCCUGACGGUAUCUAACCAGAAAGCCACGGCUAACUACGUG
rnacentral:rRNA from 1 species